GCCCCGGUAGCUCAGUCGGUAGAGCAGGAGCGCCGAGAGCGCCGCUCUGGUAAGGCGGAGGUCCCGGGUUCAAUCCCCGGCCGGGGCUCCA
rnacentral:tRNA from 1 species